CCAAUAGCGUAUAUUAAAGUUGUUGCAGUUAAAAAGCUCGUAGUUGAAUUUCGGGGUUAAUAAGUUGGUCGUACCUAUGGUAUGUACUGGCUUUAUUGAUUCCUACCUCUUGACGAACUGUGAUGCUAUUAAUUUGGUGUUGCAAGGAAUCAGGACUGUUACCUUGAAAAAAUUAGAGUGUUUAAAGCAGGCUUACGCUUGAAUACAUUAGCAUGGAAUAAUGAAAUAGGACGUUUGAACCUAUUUUGUUGGUUUCUAGGAUCGACGUAAUGAUUAAUAGGGAUAGUUGGGGGCAUUAGUAUUCAAUUGUCAGAGGUGAAAUUCUUGGAUUUAUUGAAGACUAACUACUGCGAAAGCAUUUGCCAAGGAUGUUUUCAUUAAUCAAGAACGAAAGUUAGGGGAUCGAAGACGAUCAGAUACCGUCGUAGUCUUAACCAUAAACUAUGCCGACUAGGGAUCGGAUGAUGUUAAUUUUUUAAUGACUCAUUCGGCGCCUUACG
rnacentral:rRNA from 1 species